GACGAACGCUGGCGGCGUGCUUAACACAUGCAAGUCGAACGGAAAGGCCCUGCUUGCAGGGUGCUCGAGUGGCGAACGGGUGAGUAACACGUGGGUGAUCUGCCCCUUACUUUGGGAUAAGCCUGGGAAGCUGGGUCUAAUACUGGAUAGGACCAUGCUGUAGGUGGUGUGGUGGAAAGAUUAGUUUCGGUAAGGGAUGAGCUCGCGGCCUAUCAGCUUGUUGGUGGGGUAAUGGCCUACCAAGGCGUCGACGGGUAGCCGGCCUGAGAGGGUGGACGGCCACAUUGGGACUGAGAUGCGGCCCAGACUCCUACGGGAGGCAGCAGUGGGGAAUAUUGCACAAUGGGCGCAAGCCUGAUGCAGCGACGCCGCGUGGGGGAUGACGGCCUUCGGGUUGUAAACUCCUUUCAGCCAUGACGAAGCCCUUGUGGUGACGGUAGUGGUAGAAGAAGCACCGGCUAACUACGUG
rnacentral:rRNA from 1 species